UUCUCUGAAGUUUUCGGAUGGAAGAGAGUUCAGCUUAGUGGCGAACGGGUGAGUAACACGUGAGCAACCUGCCUUUCAGUGGGGGACAACAUUUGGAAACGAAUGCUAAUACCGCAUAAGACCACAGUGUCGCAUGGCACAGGGGUCAAAGGAUUUAUCCGCUGAAAGAUGGGCUCGCGUCCGAUUAGCUAGAUGGUGAGGUAACGGCCCACCAUGGCGACGAUCGGUAGCCGGACUGAGAGGUUGAACGGCCACAUUGGGACUGAGACACGGCCCAGACUCCUACGGGAGGCAGCAGUGGGGAAUAUUGCACAAUGGGGGAAACCCUGAUGCAGCGACGCCGCGUGGAGGAAGAAGGUCUUCGGAUUGUAAACUCCUGUCCCAGGGGACGAUAAUGACGGUACCCUGGGAGGAAGCACCGGCUAACUACGUGCCAGCAGCCGCGGUAAAACGUAGGGUGCAAGCGUUGUCCGGAAUUACUGGGUGUAAAGGGAGCGCAGGCGGAUUGGCAAGUUGGGAGUGAAAUCUAUGGGCUCAACCCAUAAAUUGCUUUCAAAACUGUCAGUCUUGAGUGGUGUAGAGGUAGGCGGAAUUCCCGGUGUAGCGGUGGAAUGCGUAGAUAUCGGGAGGAACACCAGUGGCGAAGGCG
rnacentral:rRNA from 1 species